UACGUAGGGUGCGAGCGUUAUUCGGAAUUACUGGGCGUAAAGCGUGCGUAGGUGGUUUGUUAAGUCUGAUGUGAAAGCCCUGGGCUCAACUUGGGAAUUGCAUUGGAUACUGGCAGGCUAGAGUGCGGUAGAGGAUGGCGGAAUUCCCGGUGUAGCAGUGAAAUGCGUAGAGAUCGGGAGGAACAUCCGUGGCGAAGGCGGCCAGCUGGACCAGCACUGACACUGAGGCACGAAAGCGUGGGGAUCAAACAGG
rnacentral:rRNA from 1 species